CAGAGGGCAUGACACCACCAGGAAAGCCACUUCACUGGGUUCUCAGACACUCAGGGCACUGCAGACUCAGACUUGAAGCCUGACUGCCAGCCCAAGGUCGCGGGAGACGAUCUGGACCCCACAACCUCCAUUGUGCUGCUCCUUCUCCAAGAGCCAGCUUCCUCUUCUGGAAGCUCUCAUCAAGUGGUAGAGGUCUCCUAAAGUCUUGAGUCUUAUGUCCCUUCCUGGUGAGAAAGAACGCUGUGAUUGUUUCCUAAUGUCUGCCCUGGGCAUAGAUCAAAGGAAUGGCGUCACUUCUGCCCCUCCUUUCCAUCUCAGGUUAUCUGAGUAUUCUUGAACACAGUAUUGUACACAGUAUCUAAGUAUUCUUUGUACACAGAAGAAUUCUACAGAAAAGGCCUUGAUGACCUGAAUAACCACUGUGGUGUGGUCACUUAUCUAGAACCAGACAUCCUGGAAUGUGAAGUCAAGUGGGCCUUAGGAAGUAUUACUACCA
ensembl:lncRNA